rnacentral:rRNA from 1 species
CGUGUAGGCGGUUGGUCAAGUCUGGUGUGAAAGCCCGGGGCUUAACCCCGGAAGUGCACUGGAAACUAGCCAGCUAGAGCGCGAGAGAGGAGGGUGGAAUUCCUGGUGUAGCGGUGAAAUGCGUAGAUAUCAGGAGGAACACCGGCGGCGAAGGCGGCCCUCUGGCUCGUUGCUGACGCUGAAACGCGAAAGCGUGGGGAGCAAACAGGAUUAGAUACCCUGGUAGUCCACGCUGUAAAACCGAUGGGUACUAGGUGUUCGGGGUAUUGACCCCCCUGAGUGCCGACGCUAACGCAUUAAGUACCCCGCCUGGGACUACGGCCGCAAGGUUAAA